GAUGAACGCUGACAGAAUGCUUAACACAUGCAAGUCAACUGUGGCGGACGGGUGAGUAACGCGUAAAGAACUUGCCUCACGGAUAGGGACAACAUUUGGAAACGAAUGCUAAUACCUGAUACUGUGAGAGAGCUUUGCGUCCCAUUAGCUAGUUGGAGAUGUAACGGCUCACCAAGGCGAUGAUGGGUAGCCGGCCUGAGAGGGUGAUCGGCCACAAGGGGACUGAGACACGGCCAUUACUUCUGCGGGAGGAAGCAGCGGGGAAUAUUGGACAACGGACCAAAGUCUGAUCCAGCAAUUCUGGGUGCACGAUGAAGUUUUCGGAAUGUAAAGUGCUUUCAGUUGGGAAGCGGUACCAACAGAAGAAGUGACGGCUAAAUACGUGCCAGCAGCCGCGGUAAUUC
rnacentral:rRNA from 1 species